rnacentral:rRNA from 1 species
CGGAGGGUGCAAGCGUUAUCCGGAUUCACUGGGUUUAAAGGGUGCGUAGGAGGGCAGGGAAGUCAGUGGUGAAAUCUCCGAGCUUAACUCGGAAACUGCCGUUAAUACUCUCUGUCUUGAAUACCGUGGAGGUGAGCGGAAUAUGUCAUGUAGCGGUGAAAUGCUUAGAUAUGACAUAGAACACCAAUUGCGAAGGCAGCUCGCUACACGAAUAUUGACUCUGAGGCACGAAAGCGUGGGGAUCAAACAGG